rnacentral:tRNA from 1 species
GGUAAUAUGGCCGAGAAGAGGCGGUGGGCUGUAGACCCAUUCACAGGGCGGUACAACCCUUAUUAUCA